rfam:Clostridium acetobutylicum ATCC 824, complete genome.
GCUGGCAUAGCUCAAUUGGUAGAGCAACUGACUUGUAAUCAGUAGGUUGUGGGUUCAAUUCCUACUGCCAGCA